rnacentral:ncRNA from 2 species
GCUAAAAUAAAUCCUGUCGGUUUCCGCAAGGAAUCAAAAGGGAAUUCGCCACCGGCCUGCCGGUGAACCGAAACUGCCCCCGCAACUGUAGGCGAUGAGCGUGCAGCGAUCAUGCCACUGUGGCCAAGAUGCCAUGGGAAGGCCGCUGCCGUGACGACCCGCCAGUCAGGAGACCUGCCGACACCAACGUAACGCG